rnacentral:tRNA from 1 species
AUUUGUAUAGUUUAAUAUAAAACACUUUAUUUUCAAUAAAGAAAUAAGAAUCAAUAAUCUUUAUAAAUA